rnacentral:rRNA from 1 species
GCCUAAAGCGUCCGUAGCCGGCUCUGUUAGUUUUCGGUUAAAUCCAUAUGCUCAACGUACAGGCUGCUGGAAAUACUGCAGAGCUAGGGAGUGGGAGAGGUAGACGGUACUCGGGAGGAAGUGGUAAAAUGCUUUGAUCUCUCGAUGACCACCUGUGGCGAAGGCGGUCUACCAGAACACGUCCGACGGUGAGGGAUGAAAGCUGGGGGAGCAAACCGGAUUAGAUACCCGGGUAGUCCCAGCUGUAAACUAUGCAGACUCGGUGAUGCGCUGGCUUGUGGCCAGUGCAGUGCCGCAGGGAAGCCGUUAAGUUUGCCGCCUGGGAAGUACGUACGCAAGUAUGAAACUUAAAGGAAUUGGCGGGGGAGCACCACAAGGGGUGAAGCCUGCGGUUCAAUUGGAGUCAACGCCAGAAAUCUUACCCGAAGAGACAGCAGAAUGAAGGUCAAGCUGGAGACUUUACCAGACAAGCUGAGAAGUGGUGCAUGGCCGUCGCCAGCUCGUGCCGUGAGAUGUCCUGUUAAGUCAGGUAACGAGCGAGAUCCCUGCCUCUAGUUGCCACCAUUACUCUCAGGAGUAGUGGGGCGAAUUAGCGGGACCGCCGCAGUUAAUGCGGAGGAAGGAAGGGGCCACGGCAGGUCAGUAUGCCCCGAA